UCAGAUCACGGAUUGAAUAGAGCAGUGGAGUGGCACAAGUCCUCCAGUAAAGUCGAGAGUUAUGAAAAACUGCAUGGUGGUUUGGUAUGUGUACCCACUUCCAAAAAACCUCUAGAAAUUCUACCAUUCAGAUGUGACUGGCCUAUACGCUCCAACUGCAGAACCAUGGUAGAGGCCCAUUUACUCCAGGAGCAUAACGAAGCCUGGAACUGGAUGAAGGAGCAUUUGGCUAUAAACCAUCACUGCACCAAUUAUGGACAACACACACGAUUUCACCACCUAUUAUUUUAAUGGAGCCCCUGUCUCCUUUUGUUGUAUCCAUUGCUUGCUUAAACUUGUGAUCUAGAACCAGGGACGUGGAACUGCAUGUCCUGCGGCAAUUCUUGUGCCCUCUUAGAAAUGCAACCCCUGCUGAGGACUCACAGAUUUAUCCAGGCUGAAAAAAAGACCUCUUCCAGUCCAUCGCUGUGAUACCAACUGUAUAACGGCUAACUCCCUUCUUUCACACACUACCUUUAUGCUAUGCUGAAUCUCUACAUAUGUGGAGACCCAUACAAUCACUGUCUUCCACAGAAGUAGUACAGAUGGGGACAACUUUCACAGUAUGUGCUGAAAUGUUAUAGGGACUCCACAACUGCUCCAGGUCCAUACAGCCAGGAGAUUAACCUGCAGCCGACCUGACCCAAGCACAAAGAGGCUGUGAAUGAAUGUCUGACUCAGGAUCAUUUCUAGUACUUAAGUAUCUGAAAAUAUCUAGUAAAAGAUGACAUUGUAUCUAUAUGCUGUAAUUCCACACAGCCUUAGAAUUCUGUGAGAGCACAAAAUUAACAUAUAUACAACCCCACUCCUAUCCCCAGUAUGCAGGCAAAAAGCUAGAUAUACCAGAAAGAUAAUCUUCAGAAAUCAAAAACAUAUAUAUAUAUAUGCUAGUUAUUAAAUGUGCAUAUGUAUAAACACACACAUUAAAAACAUCUAAAAGAUGUACUCCAGAUGGUAACUCAUGGCUAAGUACAAUGGAAUAAGGAGAGGGUGGGUAGUGGUACAGCGUAUAAUGGGAAGCUUUGUGUUUUGUGCGCUUGGUUUGAUUUUUAUAAAGUGUAACCAAACUCACUCCUAGCACAGGUCUCAUGACUCCAGGCCCUCCCAGGUGGAAGAGGGAUACUGUACCUCACCUGGUAUGGAAUCUCAGCCAGCCCACUGGCUCCCAAGAAUGCCUCCUGUUACCCUACCAUAAACAGCAGUGACAUGAAAUAUGAGGAUACUGCACUGUGAUGUCCAACUAGAACUAAAUCCAGAGUAAUUACUGAACUAAACCUGAAUGCAUAUCUUCAGAAAUGGCAUUUUACCACCAAAGCAGUUCUUAAAAACUGAUGGAGAAAAGUGAUUAACCAGAUAGACAAAUAUCAAUGCAGACACACAGAGGCAUGUAGGAACAAGACAACAUGAUACCUCUGAACACAAUAAUUUAAAGGUUGUUACUAAAGAAAGAGUUAUGAAAUGCCUGACAGCUGAAUUAAAUCAGAAUUCUAAUAAAAAAUUAGAGUUUUUGGAAUCCUCAAGGGAGAAGACUAAAGGCAUAGAAAACCUCCUCAAUGAGACAACAGCUAAAAACAUCCCUAAACCAGUGAACAAUAAGGACAUCCAAGUACAAAAGACCCUAAGGACCCCAAGUGGACUGGAAAACAUCUUCAUGGCUAUACAUUAUAUUCAAACUCAAAAGUACAACAUAAGAGAAUUCUAAAAUCUUCAACAGAAAAUUGUCAAGUCACCUCUAGCAGAUCCCCAGAAGACUAAUAGCAAGUUUUUCAACAGAAAUCUUGUCAGGAUGGAACAGAAAAAAAAAUAGAUUCCAAUUUCUGAAAGAAAAGAACCUGCCAGCCAACAAUACCUUACCCCCUAAAAAAAACUGUCCUGCAUAAAUGAAUAAGCAAAGAAUUUCCAAGACAAGGGAAAACAGAAGGGAUUCAUCACCAAGAGAGCAGCAUUACAAAAGAUGCUUAAGGGGUUCAAUGCACGGAAGAAAAAGGAAGAGAACUACUAUCAUGAAGAUAUAUGAAAGUAUAAAACCCACCUAGAAAAGAAGAAUGCAUAUUCAAAAUAAGCAGAGGAGGUUUUUUUUUUUUUUUAAAUGAUGGGAGUGAGUCUUAUCACAAAUAAUAUUAACUGUAAAUGGACUACAUUUCCCAAUUAAAAGAUACUGGCUGAAUGGACAAAAAUCAACACUUUCCAAUGAUUUGCUGCUUCUAGGAAACCAACUUCCCUAAUAGGAACACACACAGCCUGAAAAUGACAGGCUAGGAAAAUAUAUUCCAUGCAAAUUUAACUAUUCCUACCUGCUUCUGGGCUCCAUUAAUAUAGGACAAAAUAGACUUUAAGAAAACAAAACUGUACAAAGAAACAUUAUAAUGAUCAAGAAAUCAAUUAAACAAUAUGACACAUGAUUGUAAAACUACAUGGACCUAAUGCUGUAGCACCUGGUUUUUAAAAGGAAUACUUACUAGAUCUAGAAGGAGAUAUAGACUCCUCUACGUUAAUAAUGGGGAACUUCAGCCGGCGCCGCGGCUCACUAGGCUAAUCCUCCGCCUUGCGGCGCCAGCACACCGGGUUCUAGUCCUGGUCGGGGCGCCGGAUUCUGUCCCGGUUGCCCCUCUUCCAGGCCAGCUCUCUGCUGUGGCCAGGGAGUGCAGUGGAGGAUGGCCCAAGUGCUUGGGCCCUGCACCCCAUGGGAGACCAGGAGAAGCACCUGGCUCCUGCCAUCAGAUCGGCGCGGUGCGCUGGUUGCAGCGCGCAGGCAGCGGCGGCCAUUGGAGGGUGAACCAACGGCAAAGGAAGACCUUUCUCUCUGUCUCUCUCUCUCACUGUCCACUCUGCCUGUCAAAAAAAAAAAAAAAAUAAUGGGGAACUUCAACAUUCAACUUUCAUCAAUGCACAGAUCACUGACACAAGCAAAAGAAUACUGGAGUUCAACCAAGGACAGAGAAAACUGACCUAAGAGACUUUUCAAGAACAUUUCAUACAAAAGUUGCAGAAUCCAUAUUUUUUCAUGAGAACCUGUAUAUACUCUCUAAAAUAGACUGAAUAUUAGACCACAAAACAAGUCUCAAGUCUCCACAAAUAAAAAAUGUCAUCUAUAUUCUGACAUCAACAUAAUGAAACUAGGAACCCACUACAGAAAGAAACUUUAGGAAUUACACAAUUACAUAGAGAAUGAACAAUGAACUCCUGAAUAAACGAUGGGUUGCCGAAGAAAUCAAAACUUGAAUUUAAAAAUUCCUUAAAACAAAAAAGGAAACAGUAAAACUAAUGAGGCUGGUGCUACGGCUCACUAGGCUAAUCCUCCGCCUUGCGGCACCAGCACACCGGGUUCUAGUCCCGGUCGGGCUCCACAUUCUGUCCCAGUUUCCCCUCUUCCAGGCCAGCUCUCUGCUGUGGCCAGGGAGUGCAGUGGAGGAUGGCCCAAGUGCUUGGGCCCUGCACCCCAUGGGAGACCAGGAGAAGUACCUGGCUCCUGCCAUCGGAUCAGCACGGUGCGC